AGACAGCUACAUAAUUAUGUUUUUUCAUUACUAAAGGAAUUAAGCUCACACUAUUCAUCACUGACUUUCACAUGACAUAUCCAUUUGAUCUACAGUUGGUAGGAAAAACUGUAUUAGUGCAGCUUUAAAACCACUCUAAUGAGUUACCCUCCGCUCUAUGGAGCAUGUUAGCAUCUUUCAGCUCUUGUUUUGGUCAUGCAGACUACUACCUGAAUGCAGCUGACAUUUUUAAUGGAAAAGCUCACCUUUGCACAUUACCUGCUCAGCAGACACAUUUAGAAACUAUCUAAAGAACACAGUGGAGCAUUAUCCAUUUUAGGAGCGACAUAUUUUUCAAACAUUACUGCAAAUGUAGCCCUAAUAUUGCCCUGUGCCUACCAGUCAGGUCAAAAUAAAACUUUUGUCACAGCUCAACUCCUCCCACCUAUUCCAGACCCGACAAGAGGCUCUUUAUGCUGCCUCCGCUGUGUUCUUUUCUCUUCCUGCUACACACAGAAUGUGAAACCUGGAAAACCUCUGCUGCCAACUACAACUGAGAAUAGCCAGGCCUACCACCCUUUGUCCCUGCACUGUUCGACCAGAUCCUGGUAUUUGGUGGAUUUCCUGUCUGAAUGUGAUCAGCCUCACUCAAGGUGAUGACUUGGAUGCUGGGGGUCAAAGUCACCUCCCAGACAUACACUCCAAUUCAGUACUGAAGAUGAUAACCAGGUUUAAUUUUUAACUAUUUUAUGUAGAAAUCUUAAAAUAUCAGUAUAAAAAGGUAAGAGAAUAACAGGAGAGAACAAUUUGUGAUGAUCCGCUCUGGUUAGGCCUCACUAUGCGGACGUCAUGCUCACCGCUCACCUAGUCAGGCUGCAAUGAAGCAAGCUAUUCUACCUUUUUUCUUACUUAACUGCUCUGCUGGAUAAACCAGUUCAACCAACAUGAACAAACACACUACAGAAGAAUCAUUAUGAUUCUGCCCAUCCCAACAGUCAAAGCAAGGUAUUGGAUUCACACCUUUCAAUCUGAUUUGAACUCUCAAACCGAAAAGGAAUCUUUCUCCAGGCAGUUGGUGAAGACAUUGGACCAAACAGAAUGUGGCUUCUACAGAUCAUUCAGAUGGAUCGCUUGUCUGGAUACCGAACUGUAAACUCCACAAAAUCAUCAUGAAUCAGGACUUUUAAGAAUUUCUAAGGACUGACUGACACAAAGAAGUGGACAAUGUGAAGACACGAAGAUGAGCAGGAAACAGCUACAACAGGAAUGAAAGUUAUGGCAACAAAAACUGAUGGGAUACUGAGAUAGCAAAAUGACUGUUGAACAAGAAGGUGAAAAGUAUCUUACACUAAUGGAGGAAUCUCUCACAGUUGAGAUCUUUUUGGUUUCUGCAGAAGCCACUAAAAAGAAGAUUCAACAGCAUCUGGCAUAAUCUGAACAAAUUUACUAAUGUUUCAGCUCCACAUCCCAGGCGCGACCCAUUGAAGACGAGUUGUCUUCUCCGGUACAAUGUGAGACCAACCCUACUGGUUCCAAUGGAGUUGUGGUUUAUGAAGACAUAGUGUAUAACCUACAUCCAGUGUCUAGUUGGGAACCUGAUUAUUAUGAAUAUGUUGGGAGCCGCCGAAAUAUACAUCAUGUGUCAUCUGUUGCCAACUCAACUGGUGUAGGUAGAGGACUGGAGCAGCGGUGGAGCUCAGAUUUGAGAAAUCACGUGACGGACAACAGACAGAUAUGGCACCAUGGACAUUGGCUGUGUGGGAGCUGCAACGCACAUCUGCCUCAUUGUCCUUCAUGCCUGACUGAAACAACACAUAGACGGGCUUUUACAUGGUGGAGUCUGGACCAUCUCAGUAUGAAAGAAAUCAUAAUAAUCCUGCUGCUGAUUUGUGUGAUUAGGUUUGCUACUUGUAAUGUUAGGAUUUUAAUAAUAUAAUUAGACACUAUAGCCCGAAAAGGAUCGAUUUUACGCGCACCAUGUUUGUACCUUAACAGAAAGAAUUAA